CCCUGCUUCCAGGAAAAGCCUCUAAGCAUCAGGUAACAUCAAAUCGUACCCCAAACCGACACAGGUGGUCAGGUAGAGAAUACCAAGGCGCUUGAGAGAACUCGGGUGAAGGAACUAGGCAAAAUGGUGCCGUAACUUCGGGAGAAGGCACGCUGAUAUGUAGGUGAGGUCCCUCGCGGAUGGAGCUGAAAUCAGUCGAAGAUACCAGCUGGCUGCAACUGUUUAUUAAAAACACAGCACUGUGCAAACACGAAAGUGGACGUAUACGGUGUGACGCCUGCCCGGUGCCGGAAGGUUAAUUGAUGGGGUCAGCGCAAGCGAAGCUCUUGAUCGAAGCCCCGGUAAACGGCGGCCGUAACUAUAACGGUCCUAAGGUAGCGAAAUUCCUUGUCGGGUAAGUUCCGACCUGCACGAAUGGCGUAAUGAUGGCCAGGCUGUCUCCACCCGAGACUCAGUGAAAUUGAACUCGCUGUGAAGAUGCAGUGUACCCGCGGCAAGACGGAAAGACCCCGUGAACCUUUACUAUAGCUUGACACUGAACAUUGAGCCUUGAUGUGUAGGAUAGGUGGGAGGCUUUGAAGUGUGGACGCCAGUCUGCAUGGAGCCGACCUUGAAAUACCACCCUUUAAUGUUUGAUGUUCUAACGUGGACCCGUGAUCCGGGUUGCGGACAGUGUCUGGUGGGUAGUUUGACUGGGGCGGUCUCCUCCUAAAGAGUAACGGAGGAGCACGAAGGUUGGCUAAUCCUGGUCGGACAUCAGGAGGUUAGUGCAAUGGCAUAAGCCAGCUUGACUGCGAGCGUGACGGCGCGAGCAGGUGCGAAAGCAGGUCAUAGUGAUCCGGUGGUUCUGAAUGGAAGGGCCAUCGCUCAACGGAUAAAAGGUACUCCGGGGAUAACAGGCUGAUACCGCCCAAGAGUUCAUAUCGACGGCGGUGUUUGGCACCUCGAUGUCGGCUCAUCACAUCCUGGGGCUGAAGUAGGUCCCAAGGGUAUGGCUGUUCGCCAUUUAAAGUGGUACGCGAGCUGGGUUUAGAACGUCGUGAGACAGUUCGGUCCCUAUCUGCCGUGGGCGCUGGAGAACUGAGGGGGGCUGCUCCUAGUACGAGAGGACCGGAGUGGACGCAUCACUGGUGUUCGGGUUGUCAUGCCAAUGGCACUGCCCGGUAGCUAAAUGCGGAAGAGAUAAGUGCUGAAAGCAUCUAAGCACGAAACUUGCCCCGAGAUGAGUUCUCCCUGACUCCUUGAGAGUCCUGAAGGAACGUUGAAGACGACGACGUUGAUAGGCCGGGUGUGUAAGCGCAGCGAUGCGUUGAGCUAACCGGUACUAAUGAACCGUGAGGCUUAACCUU
rnacentral:rRNA from 1 species